GAUGAUAUCCGUCUUUUCAACCUCAUGUAUCAUCCAUCGCUUUGGCUGGAUGAUACACGUUGCUCAGACCUAGCUUACGACCCGCGAGUCUAAGCGAUGGUUACAAAAUCCAAUUUACGUCCAGAGUGGCUAAAUUGCGAUCACAAGUCUAGUUUACGAUUUAUGAGUCCAAAGUGCGACUUAAGAAUCUAAAUCGGAUUCUCAUUUACGAAUCUAGCCCCGAUAUUCUAAAUUUUCGACUACAAUCAACGAUACCCUCGUUUUCAAUCUAUUUUGUCGCUAUGGCCUUAAUAGACCAAUGAUCAUUUUGUCGCCUUGGCUUUAAUGAUCCUAUCCCAUCUUGUCGCUAUGGCCUUGAUAAGGAUCGAGAGUCACUCUGUCGCUAUGGCCGGAGCUUGAUUAAUACACCAGGAUUCAAGUCUAGAAUUGUAGUCCUAAAUUGUAGUCUCUUAGUCUCUAUGCUAGUACAAGUUACAAAAUAGAAUAGUUAGAUUUUAUUUUUGUAACACUCUUUCGAAAUCACU
rnacentral:lncRNA from 1 species